rnacentral:rRNA from 1 species
GUCGAACGCUGGCGGCGUGCUUAACACAUGCAAGUCGAGCGGAAAGGCCCUUCGGGGUACUCGAGCGGCGAACGGGUGAGUAACACGUGAGUAACCUGCCCCAGACUUUGGGAUAACCCUCGGAAACGGGGGCUAAUACCGGAUACGACACAGCUUCGCAUGGGGUCUGUGUGGAAAGUUUUUCGGUUUGGGAUGGGCUCGCGGCCUAUCAGCUUGUUGGUGGGGUGAUGGCCUACCAAGGCGACGACGGGUAGCCGGCCUGAGAGGGCGACCGGCCACACUGGGACUGAGACACGGCCCAGACUCCUACGGGAGGCAGCAGUGGGGAAUAUUGCACAAUGGGCGGAAGCCUGAUGCAGCGACGCCGCGUGAGGGAUGACGGCCUUCGGGUUGUAAACCUCUUUCAGCAGGGACGAAGCGUAAGUGACGGUACCUGCAGAAGAGGCGCCGGCCAACUACGUG